rnacentral:rRNA from 1 species
AGAGUUUGAUCCUGGCUCAGGAUGAACGCUGGCGGCGUGCUUAACACAUGCAAGUCGAACGAAGCACUUUAUUUGAUUUCCUUCGGGACUGAUUAUUUUGUGACUGAGUGGCGGACGGGUGAGUAACGCGUGGGUAACCUGCCUUGUACAGGGGGAUAACAGUUGGAAACGGCUGCUAAUACCGCAUAAGCGCACAGCAUCGCAUGAUGCAGUGUGAAAAACUCCGGUGGUAUAAGAUGGACCCGCGUUGGAUUAGCUAGUUGGUGAGGUAACGGCCCACCAAGGCGACGAUCCAUAGCCGACCUGAGAGGGUGACCGGCCACAUUGGGACUGAGACACGGCCCAAACUCCUACGGGAGGCAGCAGUGGGGAAUAUUGCACAAUGGGCGAAAGCCUGAUGCAGCGACGCCGCGUGAGCGAAGAGGUAUUUCGGUAUGUAAAGCUCUAUCAGCAGGGAAGAUAAUGACGGUACCUGACUAAGAAGCACCGGCUAAAUACGUGCCAGCAGCCGCGGUAAUACGUAUGGUGCAAGCGUUAUCCGGAUUUACUGGGUGUAAAGGGAGCGCAGGCGGUGCGGCAAGUCUGAUGUGAAAGCCCGGGGCUCAACCCCGGUACUGCAUUGGAAACUGUCGUACUAGAGUGUCGGAGGGGUAAGCGGAAUUCCUAGUGUAGCGGUGAAAUGCGUAGAUAUUAGGAGGAACACCAGUGGCGAAGGCGGCUUACUGGACGAUAACUGACGCUGAGGCUCGAAAGCGUGGGGAGCAAACAGAAAGAGAUACCCUGGUAGUCCACGCCGUAAACGAAGAAUACUAGGGGUUUGGGAAACAUUGCUUCUUGGGGCCCCCCCAACGCCAUUAAGUUUCCCCCUGGGGAGUACGUUCGCAAGAAUGAAACUCAAAGGAAUUGACGGGGACCCGCACAAGCGGUGGAGCAUGUGGUUUAAUUUCGAAGCAACGCGAAGAACCUUACCAAGUCUUGACAUCCUUCUGACCGGUACUUAAUCGUACCUUCUCUUCGGAGCAGGAGUGACAGGUGGUGCAUGGUUGUCGUCAGCUCGUGUCGUGAGAUGUUGGGUUAAGUCCCGCAACGAGCGCAACCCUUAUCUUUAGUAGCCAGCGGUCCGGCCGGGCACUCUAGAGAGACUGCCAGGGAUAACCUGGAGGAAGGCGGGGAUGACGUCAAAUCAUCAUGCCCCUUAUGACUUGGGCUACACACGUGCUACAAUGGCGUAAACAAAGGGAAGCAAAGCUGUGAAGCCGAGCAAAUCUCAAAAAUAACGUCUCAGUUCGGACUGUAGUCUGCAACCCGACUACACGAAGCUGGAAUCGCUAGUAAUCGCAGAUCAGAAUGCUGCGGUGAAUACGUUCCCGGGUCUUGCACACACCGCCCGUCA